rnacentral:lncRNA from 1 species
UUUUUGCCUUUUCUAGGGCUGCUCCUGUGGCAUGUGGAGGUUCCCAGGCUAGGGGUCUAAUCGGAGCUAUUGCUGCCGGCCUACACCAGAGCCAUAGCAACGCAGGAUCCGAGCAGCGUCUGUGACCUACACUGCAGCUCACGGCCACUGCAGAUCCUUAACCCACUGAGCAAGGCCAGGGAUCGAACCCAGAACCUCAGGGUUCCUAGUACGGAUUUGUUAACCACUGAGCCAGGAGGAGAACUCCUAGAGCUAAAUUCUUAUUUACUAAAGAGGAAAUCAAUGGAAAGUGGAAGAGUCAAAAAUAUGCACAUUACUCAGAUCCACGAGAUGAAACAUCGCUAGAAGCAGCAGCUAAACGGGGUUGCCUCGAGGAGAAGGCAAGGAACAACUGCACUUGCUGAAGACACGCUCAUCCCAUUUGACAUCUUAAAUUAUAUGCAUGUACUACUGUGAAGAACUAAAAAAAUAAUUUUUAAAAAGAGAGAAUGGGUCUGGGAAUAAGGGCUUGCAUUCCAGCUGCAACCACUGAAGGAGGGGUUUGGCCUCCUCGGCAAGAGUGCAGCUAAGUCCUUCCACCUCUGUUACUCUAUGAAACCAUCACAUCCCACAGAAUAACCAUCAUCGGCUCCUCACACCCACACGGAGUUCCAUCACCAGCUCUAAAAGUGGUACCUCCCUCCCCGCGCCCCCACUCUGCCCCUCACGAAAUGCUUAAUUCUUCUCCCAACACAUCAUUUCCACCCAGUCCAGCCCAGGCACAGCCUGGCACACCCCCCCCGACAUUCCUCCCAAACUGUACUCUGCUGCCCACACCCCUAACCACAAUCCCGGCUCACUCGUGAGCCCAACUCAGCCCCAAGACCCACCAUGCAACCAUCGCCUGGGGCUGCCAGACAGUCCCCGCUGUGUCAACUGCCACCUCCGCCACCACCCCGUCCCCGGCGCCAUUCCCACCUUGCUCACCAACCCCAACCCCAUCAGCAACCCCCCGCCCCGAGCUAAUCCCCCCAAAGUCUCACCUCUAAGCCUGCUCCAACCAGCACCAACCUGACUGUCACCCCACAGUCUCGCCUCAACAAGAGGAAUUAUCCUCGUCCAGAAACAAAACCAUAGUUACCCCAAAACUCCGAUCCUUGCUCCAUCAAAACGAUCCCAAUGUGUUCGCCACAAGAGCCUCUCCGGCUCCAUCACGGGUCCUCUAUUUGAACUGCUGAAAAACAUGUGACCACCUGGGCGCCAGGUCCUUCUUUACCCUCUAUCGGAAGUCUACUUUUCUCCUAGCGGACUUUGCUGUUUUGGGUCUAUCUUGGUGCCUUCCCCUCCUUCCCAGUGGGGUUUCUGCGGUGUUUGCACUGAUCCCACUCCUCACCCAAGUCGCAGAAUGAGCACGUGACCAGGCGAGCCAAUCAGAAGCCUCCCAGGAACAUUUUGCCCCAGUGGAAAGAUGCUAACCUGAUAGGAUGUGAGUCAGGACCUGCUGGCUGUGGUGGGGAGAGCUUGCCUGAGGACCAAGGGAAGAAACACUGAAGUCCUGGGUCCCUGGAUCCAGCUGUACCUGAGCAAGGACACCUCUGAACCUCUCCGUAAUGUGAGACUUUCCCUACUCUGGUGCGAGUGAGUCUGUGCCUUGCGAUUGACAGUCUUAAUCCGUAGGUAACCUCAACCUCCUGAAGUUUUCCCUGGGAGGCCUGGUUGCCUGGGUUCAGAUCCUGGCCUUAUUAGCAUCAGCCGUGUGACUGGAGGCAUCACGGGGCCUCGGUUUUCUCAGCUGCAAAAUGGGGAAAAUAACAGGAGCCACUUCACAGGCCUUCUGUGGGAAUCAAAAUGAGAUGCGUUACACAUGCUUCCGAGAGCGCCUACACAAAGAAAGUACUCUGAACUCUCAACAAUUAUGAGUCCCUGACUAAUCCAGCCCACAGUUUUCUCUCCUUUCUUGAAAUCCCUGGAGUGCCUGAGAGUGUACUUCACUCGAACAGGAGCUUGUACUGAUUAUGUUCUUACAAGCGNGGGGGGGGGGGGCUGUGCACAGAGCUUUACAAUGUCGGCAUCCUGUUCAUCCGCACACCUGCCUCACUCCACCCCUUUGCAAUGGGGACUAUUUUUAUCCCCAUUUUCUAGAUGAGAAGAAUGAGGUACAGAGAGGUGAGCAAAGCUGCCCACAGCCACAGAGCUGGCGAGGCUGGAUCCAAAUCCAAGAAGGUCCCCUGCUGAAGCUGUUUCCCGCUCCACCACCGCCUCGCACAAUUAGCAUGUGACCACUGCAGACUUAUUAACUUUGGGCACAAAACAAAGUUCCCAGUCCGUGUCCCGCCCCCCUUUUUUAAUUUGUGUUUUAGGGCCACACCAGUGGCAUAUGGAGGUUCCCAGGCUGGGGUCGAAUCAGAGUUGCAGCUGCCGGCCUACAGCACCGCCACAGCAAUGCUGGAUCCAAUGUCUGAAAGACCAACACCACAGCUCAUGGCAAUGCUGGUUCCCCCACCCGCUGAGCCAGGCCAGGGAUCGAACACAUGUCCUCAUGGAAACUAGUGGGGUUACCGCUGAGCCACAAGGGGAACUCCCUUAGUCUCCCUUUCCUGGUGAGGCCUGCCUGCUGUGAGGGCAAGAGAGGGGUGGCAGCAGGAAAUGCACCCUUCUAAGCUUAGCAGCCAGUGCCCCGCCCAAUGCAGGAGUCAUUCAUUCAUUUAUUCCCAUGGGUCCGGCGCUGUGCUCAGGGACGUGCAUUGUCCCAUCCCAUCCUCCUAACCACCCUAUGAAGUCGGUUCUGUUAUUAUUCCCAUUUUUUAAAAGGAGAAACUGAGGCUUGGAGAGUUUAAUGAUCUCUCCAGGGCGGCACAGGUAGAAAGUCCCAGAUGCAUCUCCCAAGUCCUUACAAACAAGGCAACACUGAGUCACGGAUGAGCAGGAGAAGCACAGACCCCACAUCAGCUCUCCGUGCCCGCAGUGGGACGCCGGCCCACAGAUAACAGCCUCGUGGCUGAAUUUCCUAUUUGAGCUUAGGAGGGGGCGCGAAUACGUCCUGUGGGUGACGGAAGCCCAGAGAGUAUCUCGUGUCCCACGCCACCCAAUCCUCUGCUGGGUGAUGAUAAGCUUGGUGAGCUGGGGGCAGCAGGAAGCUGAGGGGAGACAGAAGGGCCUCCUAGACAGAGAUGCUUAUCUGCCAAGUCUUCCCCCACCCGCCCCAAUACGGGCUGGAUAAGGAGGAGGGGGAGGUCCCAGUACCACUCUCUGAUUGCUCACUCUCUCGCAGCGGGAGGGAGGUGCGUGUCGUCACACCAUCACUCUGACUUCCAGAAACGUCCUUCCCACCCAAAACCACCAGCUGCCCAGAGAAUACCAAAAGCCACUGGCAACAGGCCAACGAUCCUGCCAUCCUGUUCCCCACUUCAAAGCCCAUCUGUCUGGCUCUGGAGUCACAACAAGACGACUUGUGGCUCUCACGCCACCCGCGAGGCCGGGGCAUCACCAGCAGGAGCAUUUAUAGUCACACCAAAUGCUGCCGUUGUGGCGGCCACACUGGCAGAGAUGGGGUGGAUGAGACUCGUCUGCUCACACUCAUGGUUACCAUGACACAGCCCCCAAGGCAGGGACGGGGGAACAAAGGGUUGUACCCAAAAUAGACGCUGGUAAGGAGCCGAAAUUGUUCUGCGGAGCCAAAAUGAGCCGAGAGAGUUCCGCACAGGAGCACGGUUUCCAAAUGAACGUGGGGAGUCAGGAGCAGCCCUACGGGGGCCCGGGAUGGUGUGCGCCGUGCCAGGCGGGGGGCUCCCCGCGCCCUGGGAGGCAGGGCGCGGGUGCUCAAGCUGAAAGGCCCUGUGAGAAUCGGCCCUGCGGACCCUGGCGGGCCUGCGGCCACAAGCACAGCUCUGAUUCCGUCCUCCCCUCGAGGGGGUGCAUGGUCCACCCCUGUGAUUCUUUUCCAGACUUUUCUAAAGAACGGUCCACACCUGCCAGCUCCAGAGCCUCUUACUAGACGCUUCCUCUGAUCCCAGCAGCUGGUCCGCACCCCACCCAAUAUCUCCGAAAGCCCCCAGGGGUGCUGAAGGUUGUAAUCCCACAAGGGGGACACUACAGUGGUUCCCCAGGAGGACACGUCGUCUACCUGGCUUUGGGGGACCCCUGCAUGGACCACUGACCAACACACAAAAAAAGGACCUACUCCAUGAGCUGGAGGGAUUGAUUCUAGUUACCAAGGAGACAUUGGGUUGCUGGCACUUAGAGGCCAGGAAGAUUACGCAGGGGAUUCCUCGGGUACCUCUUAGAGCUUCCGGGACCAAAAGGAAGGGUUGGUGAAAACCUGCUGUAACAAAACCAAACAAACGGCAGGAAAACCAAGGGUGCAGAGCCCUCAGAAACCAAGGUCUGGGUCUCCCCAUCAGGUAAAAGAAGCCUGCCCUGCUGCAGUUCUGGCUGCGCACAGAGGAUUUACGGAUGGGGAAAGGGAGAGAGAAGCCCGAUGGCGGCCUUGGGGACAAAUACAGAAAUGAGAGCUGUAGUAGUUUUGCAUAUCUUCUAUUUACUUGGUAUGCAGGUGUGUUCCUCUGACACGGUAGCCACAUUCUUCCUUUUCCUCUUUCUUCCCAUUAUUUUAAGUACAAGUUGAUGGAAGUUAACUUUACAGUCUGGGUAGCAGCAGAGUCAGCGGGAUGGUGACUGAAUAUGAGGUGUUAUUCGUGGAGACAGUGAUGGAUACAGUGAGCAAGAAGAGAAAAACAACCCUUUUCUGGUCGGUAGGGGAGCUUGCACAUGUGUAACAGGGGGCAGAUGUGCGCUGUGCGGCCCAAGUAGCAGACUGUGCCAGUAAUUCACUCGCCCUGCAUUGCCCGCUCUGUGAAGAUGCAGCUGGGCCCUUUAAAGAGUUCCCCUGUGCCAGCAGGAGAGACAUCAACCUCCUGCCAGUAGAGGGCACUGCAGAGACACUGAAGGAGGAGUUUUCUUUCCCAGAACCAGUGUGGAGGGUUCCUGCAUUUAGACAACUUCUCUAGCGGCCAGAUCCUGCUGCCCCUGUGGCUUCCCUUGAACCCAGUCCUGUCCUGUCACAGCUUCUCCAGUGCCGGGCUCCUGCAGCAAGGGUGCUUCUCCAGCACCUGGCUCUAGCUGUGAGUGACGGGCAACAGCAGCCAGCAGCUUCACCCCGUCCUCCCCUUGGGCAGCCCAGGAGCACCGUGCCCUCCAGCAAGACCUUCCUCAUCAACAACUCUCCUUGGGACCCAAAAAGAGGGAUUUCCAGUGAGUUCCAGGGGGCAGUUUUCCAGCAAGUUCUGGCACCACAGUGACGUCACCAUCCAUGGAGCCAUGGCCAUGGCCUCUCCACCAAGGUCAGGAUCUCAGCCCCGGGGGGGCCUCUUCCUCGGGACUCCACGGCAACCCUAGGUGUCGUGGCCGUUCUCACAGAGGCUAUUCCGUCUUCUUUGCAGUUCGUUUUUCUUCUUACCCGCCAGUCUCUCGAUACUCCAGUCCCCUGGUAUCAUGAAUAAGCCUUUAAACUUCUCCUCUUCAAAUCACGAUGUGUUUCUGUCUCCUGAAUCGACCCUGACCGAGAGUCACCCAUGGCCUCAAAGGGCCUUUUUCCAUUCUCCCCGUCCUUGAGGUCAAUUCCGCCUCCUUGCUGGCGAAUCAUUCCUGCUUCAAGCACUCACUCAGCAAUCGCUUACCGAGUGCCGUGGCCGAGGGUGAACCAGAGGCCCCUGCUUCGGCAAGUUCACGGGCAAGGGGAUCCUCGGGCUCUCUCUCCCCACUCGGCUCCGUGCUCUUGGGCCUCGCUGGUCCUCGGGCUCCUCCGCUCAGCCUCCUGGGCUGGCCCAGGGUCUUGCUCCCAAAACUGCGCAGUGGGCACCCCUCUCGAGUCACACACACCCUGCUUCAGCUGCUCUCUAAAUCCUCCUCCGCCGAGAUGCCUGGGCUUAAGUGACUGCAGACUUCCGACGGCAAGGCCCCCACCUUUAUCCUCACGUGCAGUUACCUGAGGUCCUCCCCUUUAGAACCAGAUGCUUCAUGCUGCCUCUGGCUCCUCUAUGGGGAAGUGGCAGCCCCUUCCCUCAGCUGCCAAAGCCCCAAACCCCAGAGAGGACCGAAGUCCCACCUCCGCCGUCAGUCCCCCACACGGCACCAGGCGCCCGAUCCCGGGGACCACAGCUCUGGACCUUGGCAGUUAUCCUGUAACGCGUCUCAACACAUCUGGUGUCUCUACCUCCCACCCCAGCCUCUCAGCAAAGAUUUUCCACACAUGGCUUCCUCAAUCAAAACCCAGGAUGCCUGAUGAAAAUGUUCUGAAACUGAUUGUGGUAAUAGUUGCACAACUCCAUGAAUGUACUAAAAACCAUCCAAUUGCACACUUUAAAUGGGUGAACUGUAUGGUAUGUGAAUUAUAUCUCAAUACGGCUGUUAUUUUUAAAAACCCUCUGAUGCCGGUGAUUUUCACACUCCGUAAAAUCUAAACUCCAGUCUGGUGCUGCACUGAGGGCUGCACGGCGCGGCCUCAGCCUAUUGCUCUGACCUGCCCCCCACCUCUCCCAGCGACGGCGCCACUCCAGGGCCAGUCCCCGGCGCCCAGCUCCCGGCCCCUGUUUGCGCACGUGUCCACACCCACAUCGUUGGCUCUUCCGAGAGGGGGGCUCCUCCCAGAGGGCCCCAGCCCUCCCUCCCCCAUCCCUCAGCAUCCCCUCCCAGGGAUCUUCCAUCAGUUUCUGCUGUGCGGUCAUUUAGCUUGUCACGUGCAUACGUCUGUUCUCCUAAACAGGUGAGGUCGGAGCUCAUGCCCUGCGCUCCGCUCUUCUUCCACUCGUCCCUCCCGGGCCCCCCUGUCCCAGGCGACCCCUGAGGCAGAGAAGACUGUGUGAAGCCAGCCCCAGCAGCCGCACCAUCCCCGGCACAGGGUGAGGCCCCCAGCCCCCGUUCUAGGGGUCGCUCGGCAGGGCUCCCCAAGGCACCACACUAACGGGAAGGCCCCUGAUCCGCCUGCCCCAGGCCAGGACGUAUGCCCACUAUGGGGUCUGUGGCCUCCACCAGCCCCCAGAUGCCCCGGGUGCAGGGAGUCGGGAGGGACCUAGGUCAGGGUGCCCGUGAGCCACGGGGGUGCGGGGUGGGUUGACCAGCCAGCUGACCCCCUCCCGGGCCCCAACCAGGAGGUCCCCCAAAGGGUCUCGAGGGUCUGGGAGCUGCUGCUAGGGCACAGUGCCCCCUCACGGACGCGGUCAGAACUGGUCCCUGGUUUGCUCUCUCCUCACGCUCUACCCCAGCCCAAACCAAGCCAUUCGUGGUGGGGGGGAUGCAGGGGGUCGUGCGGGGAGAAAGAAGAGCCCAGGUUUCUGGGCAGCACAUCCCAGAACCUCCAGCCCUGGCCCAGCAGCCGCCCCUGCAGCCCUAGGUGGGUUCCGCCACCUCGAACCCUGGCUCUGCCAGGCAGAGGCGGGCUUCCCUGCACCACUCCGUACAGUGGGGUGAGGGAGGAGAGGGCCCCUCACCUGGGUCUAUCUAAGGAUACGAGAGCAUCUGAGUACUUGGCACAGGGCCUGGCACAUGGUAGGCACUCAAUAAAUAUUAUUAUUAUUUUUUUAAAGUAUUCUGUGAUUAAUCAGGGCAAAAGGCCUGCAAAGUGUCCUUAGGAAACCUAGAGUGUCGCCUCAGACCACACCCAGGAAUGGCUCUCACUGGCGCCUCGGACCGGCUGCUGCGGCCUGACCCAGAGGCCUCUCUCCCAGCUGAUG